CCUACGGGUGGCUGCAGUGGGGAAUAUUGCACAAUGAGCGCAAGCUUGAUGCAGCGACGCCGCGUGAAGGAAGAAGGCUUUCGAGUCGUAAACUUCUGUUAAGUGGGAAGAAAUACUUAUGGUUAAUACCCAUAGGGGCUGACGGUACCACUAGAGAAAGCACCGGCUAACUUCGUGCCAGCAGCCGCGGUAAUACGAAGGGUGCAAGCGUUAUUCGGAGUAACUGGGCGUAAAGAGCGUGUAGGCGGUUUGUUAAGUCUGUUGUUAAAUUACUC
rnacentral:rRNA from 1 species